CCUACGGGAGGCAGCAGUGAGGAAUAUUGGUCAAUGGGCGAGAGCCUGAACCAGCCAAGUCGCGUGAGGGAGUACUGCCCUAUGGGUUGUAAACCUCUUUUGUCGGGGAGCAAAAGCCGGACGUGUCCGGCUGUGAGAGUACCCGAAGAAAAAGCAUCGGCUAACUCCGUGCCAGCAGCCGCGGUAAUACGGGGGAUGCGAGCGUUAUCCGGAUUUAUUGGGUUUAAAGGGUGCGCAGGCGGAUUGUCAAGUCAGCGGUAAAAUCGUGGGGCUCAACCCCAUCCAGCCGUUGAACCUGGGGAUCUAGAGUGUGCGAGAAGUAUGCGGAAUGCGUGGCGUAGCGGUGAAAUGCAUAGAUAUCACGCAGAACCCCGAUUGCGAAGGCAGCAUACCGGUGCACAACUGACGCUCAGGCACGAAAGCGUGGGUAUCGAACAGGAUUAGAUACCCGUGUAGUC
rnacentral:rRNA from 1 species